rnacentral:rRNA from 1 species
CAGGGUGACAGGUGGUGCAUGGUUGUCGUCAGCUCGUGUCGUGAGAUGUUGGGUUAAGUCCCGCAACGAGCGCAACCCUCGACCUUAGUUGCCAGCAUUCAGUUGGGCACUCUAAGGUGACUGCCGGCUAAAAGUCGGAGGAAGGUGGGGAUGACGUCAAAUCACCAUGCCCCUUAUGACCUGGGCUACACACGUGCUACAAUGGGCGGUACAAAGGGUCGCGAACCCGCGAGGGGGAGCCAAUCCCAAAAAGCCGCUCUCAGUUCGGAUUGCAGGCUGCAACUCGCCUGCAUGAAGCCGGAAUCGCUAGUAAUCGCGGAUCAGCAUGCCGCGGUCGAAUACGUUCCCGGGCCUU